AGAGUUUGAUCAUGGCUCAGAUUGAACGCUGGCGGCGUGCUUAACACAUGCAAGUCGAUCGGUAACAGGUGUAGCAAUACAUGCUGACGAGAGGCGGACGGGUGAGGAAUAUUUGGGAAUCUGCCCAUCAGCGGGGGACAACCCGGGGAAACCCGGGCUAAUACCGCAUACGCUCUACGGAGGAAAGCCGGGGACCGCAAGGCCUGGCACUGAUGGAUGAGCCCAAAUCGGAUUAGCUAGUUGGCGGGGUAACGGCCCACCAAGGCGACGAUCCGUAGCUGGUCUGAGAGGACGAUCAGCCACACCGGAACUGAGACACGGUCCGGACUCCUACGGGAGGCAGCAGUGGGGAAUAUUGGACAAUGGGGGAAACCCUGAUCCAGCGACGCCGCGUGGGUGAAGAAGGCCUGCGGGUUGUAAAGCCCUUUCGGUAGGGACGAAAGCUCUUGCUCCAACAAAGCAGGAGGUUGACUUAACCUACAUAAGAAGCACCGGCUAACUCUGUGCCAGCAGCCGCGGUAAUACAGAGGGUGCGAGCGUUAAUCGGAAUUACUGGGCGUAAAGCGCACGUAGUCGGCUUGUCAAGUCGGGUGUGAAAUCCCCGGGCUCAACCUGGGAACUGCAUCCGAAACUGACUUGCUAGAGUAUGGGAGAGGGAGGCGGAAUUUCUGGUGUAGCAGUGAAAUGCGUAGAUAUCAGAAGGAACAUCAGUGGCGAAGGCGGCCUCCUGGACCAGUACUGACGAUCGGGUGCGAAAGCGUGGGGAGCAAACAGGAUUAGAUACCCUGGUAGUCCACGCCCUAAACGAUGACAACUGGAUGUCGGGAGGGUUUGCCUUCCGGUGUCGUAGCUAACGCGUUAAGUUGUCCGCCUGGGAAGUACAGCCCGCAAGGGUUGAAACUCAAAGGUAAUUGACUGGGACCCGCACAAGCGGUGGGAGCAUGUGGGUUUACUUCGAUGCAACGCGUAGAACCUUUACCUGGUCUUGACAUCCUAGGAAUCCUGCAGAGAUGCGGGAGUGCCUUCGGGAACCCUGGACACAGGUGC
rnacentral:rRNA from 1 species